rnacentral:rRNA from 1 species
GAUCCAGAGAUGGUGACGCCCUUCGGGGCAUCUGUGAAGGUGCUGCAUGGUUGUCGUCAGCUCGUGCCGUGAGGUGUCGGCUCAAGUGCCAUAACGAGCGCAACCCCUCUCUUCAGUUGCCAUCAGGCUAUGCUGGGCACUCUGGAGACACUGCCACCGCAAGGUGUGAGGAAGGUGGGGAUGACGUCAAAUCAGCACGGCCCUUACGUCCGGGGCUACACACGUGUUACAAUGGGGGGUACAGAAAGCCGGCUGCCCGCAAGGUCAGUCCAAUCAAGAAAGCCCUCCUCAGUUCGGACUGGGGUCUGCAACCCGACCCCACGAAGCUGGAUUCGCUAGUAAUCGCGCAUCAGCCAUGGCGCGGUGAAUACGUUCCCGGGCCUUGUACACACCGCCCGUCAAGCCAUGAAAGCCGGGGGUGCCUGAAGUCCGUGACCGCAAGGAUCGGCCUAGGGCAAAACUGGUAAUUGGGGCUAAGUCGUAACAAGGUAGCCGUACCGGAAGGUGCGGCUGGAACACCUCCUUUCU